UCUCUCUCUCUCUCUCUCUCUCUCUUUCCCUUUCCUACACAGACCCAAAACCCGACACCUCUCUCCCUCUCUCCCUCGCAGAUCAGUGGAUUCCUACUUCGUCUCCUCCAACAUCUUCUUCUAGGGUUUUCUCCUCCACCAUUUUCUAGGGUUUCCAACUCGUCCGCUCCUCUCAACCUCACACACGAUGGCCGGAUUGGGAAGGAUCGUGCGCCGAGGUGAUCCCUCUUGAGCUCGCACACGAUCGCCGCUUAGGAGGACCUUCGCCGAGGCGCAUUAAUUGCUUUCUCAUUUGAUCACCGCCCAUUCCUUUUACGUGGACACGCGGGAUGGAGACGGAUCGGGACGGAGACGGAUUGAUUUAGUUUACUACGGUAAUUUAUUUCAGAUAAAAAAGGUAAAAACGUAGGUUAAUUUAGUUGAAAUAUGAAUCAUUUUGAUUCGAUUAUUCAAUAUUUUAAAAUUUUGAAUUUAUUAUCCAACAUUUUAGUUUAUUUAAUUUGAGUCAGUUAACGAUAUUUUGACUUUAAAAUUUAAGCUAGUUAUUUAUUUUAAUACAUUUAUACUUACAAGAAUUGCAUAAAGUAUACCAACUAAACAUGUAAAGAUAAAUGACCCAUUCUCCGGCACAUGUUAAGAGGCUUAGGUCUACCCUAAAAGCUUCAGUUAUUAUGUAGAGAUAUCCUCCACAUUAUGUACACAUUAAGAUUAUAUUUUGUAUCCGAUAUGUAACUAUUACUCAAAACAACUUUUACAUAUUUAAGCUCGUUGUUCACAAGUGGACCAUGGCUAAAAUGUUAAUUAGCAUUUUUAAUAAACACCUCCAACUAACCAAUCAUCAUCAAAAUUUGACCCAAAGAAUAAGCAUCACCCAAAAUUAAGAAUCGGGAACUUGACCCUCAAAGCUUAUACCCGAAUCUCUCAAGCGGGUUAGGUCAAGUAAAUUGCGCAUCUUAUAUGGAGAUAAUAAGAAUUAGCUUUCAUGUAAGGAAUUAGCUUUCAUUGGUUGUAUUUUGGAUAACUUGGAUACUAUAGUUUUUUUGAGUUAAAUUGUUCAUGCCUUUUCUUUGCUCGUAAAAAUAUCCAAUGCAACUAAAUGUUUGGCUUAAGUAAAAAAUUGACAUAAGUAUCUGCCUAACUUCUCAUAAUAUUUUGCUGAAAUCAACUGAGACUUCAACUCACAUAUUAAAGGCCUGUAUGCUGGCAGUUUUCUUGCAGGGCUUAUGUCUAGUUAAGUUGUAUAAAUAAAUUUUCAGAACAGCAAGAAAUACUGUACAUGCAUGCUUCUCAAUACUGUGGACUAAAUUUACACAACUUUAAAAAAGGAUUAGAGGGUGCACUUUGGACCUCUGCUUGGCAUUAAAUGCCUAUUAAUGAGUAUAAUAUCACAUUCACUUUUGAGGUUCUGUACAGUUUUCUUGAUCAUGUAGUGCAGUUUUAUUAAUGUGCUUGGUAUGUCAUUUUUAUUGAAUGACAAUUCCUUCUUAUACAAAGUCAAAAAGAGCAGAUCAAUGGACCAGAACCUGCAUCUGAUCCCCAAUCUCUUUGUUCUCAAGGGAAGCAUCACUUUAUCCUUAAUGAACAAAUAGGAAUCACAUACAAAUUUUGCUCCUUUGUAAUUUGGAAAUUAGAUAUAUUAUGCCUUCUUUGGUGAGUUCCUCUUCCUCAUUAUUAAUUCUUACUGCACAUACUCUGCUAUGAGGAAAUACUCAGAAUUAGAAAGUUUUUGAGGGUUGUUGAUUAAAAAAACUUAGCUAGCCUAUACAGAACUUUGAUAAUACUGUUUCCUUCAAGCUAACCUAUAUCUAAUUAAAGCCUAAUUAUAGCAUUUACUUUUUUGUAGUUUAUGACGAUGGAAAAAGAGAAAGAAAGAUAGGUCGUACAACUUUAAAGGAGAUAUUGGAAAUAAACAAGAGUUGGCGUAUUCAAGUUCGAUUUAACAAAAGAGGGCAACCCAUAAAUAAGGAGGCAAGGUUGCUCGCUGGAUUUUGUAGAAUAGUUGCACGAAAUGGUCUAUUCUGCCCUCUAAACUACAUUAAUUAGAGACGAAUGCCAAUUGCACUGAAAAAUGAAGCUUUGUCUUUUGUCAUGGUAUUUGACACAUUUUACACUGUUUACAUCUGUUUAUAUAACAAUCUUAUUAUACAUAUUUCUUUUAAUUUUGUGUAUAUUGUCUUUGAAGUCGAAAUUUCAAUUUCAAUCAAAGAAAGGACAAGCCUUUAUCAUAAGAUCUUUAAACAAGAAAUGGAAAGACUACAAAGCUGAAUUAAAAGCCAAGCAUUUUGACCGAACAAAACUAAAAGAAGAAAUUAGUAAGAAUGUGCCUCCUGGUGUAGCAAAGCAGCAGUGGUUGAGCCUGGUUGACUUUUUAUUCUCUGAUGUUGCCAAGGUAUGAUUUAUCAAUACUUUAUUUCUAGAUAAGACUUUGUUUUUAGAUUUAUCCUGGUAUUUUCUUUCUCUGUGUUGGCAAGUUUUUGCAUUAGUGGCUAAUCUUGAAAUUUUUACUCCUUUUCUUACAUGUUCUUUUAACUGACUAUUGGAUGCAAGCCAUAGAUUGUGAACUAUUUGUGAAACCAAAUUUAGAUGAGAUGUGAAUGAAAUAAAAAUCUGCAUUGCUAUGGCUGAAUUUAUUAUUCUGCACUCUGUCUCACUUAUAAUUAACAUAUUGUUCGCAUUAUCUUCACUUAAAUACUUCUGAUGAGAUGAUAUUUUGACUUACUGAAGGGUGCUCGAUGGUCUCAAUGGUCAUCGCUCUUCCAUAUCUUUUGCUAAUCCAUCAAAUAGUUGAGUUCUGCUAUCUUAACAUGAUCAGCUUUAUUGCUAUGUCCUGUUUCAUCUUCUCACUUUCGUUUCUUGUAGAGUUUAUUAGGUCAAGCUAUUAAAGAGUUAGUACGCUCUACUACAAUAUAGUCACUUGUUGUUCUAUGAUAUCAUAAUCUUGAUGAGCUCUCUAAUUUUGGGGUAUUCUUUCUUUUCUGUGUGUGUUUAUGUAUGUGCGUGCGCGCGCGCGUAGGAUGGGAGGGUUCAAGGGUGAUAAGACUUGAUGCUGAAUAGUAACUAAAAGUUAAGACUUGAUGCUGAAUAUAUCUAUUGGUUGACUUUUUGGUUAAAAUUUUCUAUUUCAAGUUUCAAAAAUUUAAAAACUAAAAUUCAUACUCCUCUUUGCAACUAGUAAAACUGCAUAUAUUGUAGCAAUGCCAUAUAUUGUGUCCCUGUAGAAAUUCAUUACUUGUGAUUGGUAGAGUAAGUACUGUUGAUUAAAUCUGACAUUACUACACUUUUUUCCCUUAAUUACCAUGGAAUUUCUAGUUUGGAUGUGCUAUGGUUUCUUUUUCUUUUUUUUUUUUAGUCCGAAUUUUGCAAAAUGAUGAAAGAGCCAGUUGACAGAAUAAUGUAAAUUGUUGGAUCAGACUUUGUUUCUAGAUGUCUUGCGAUCUUAUCUAACUCAACUAUAUGAACAUUUUUAUGCUUGGGAGGACCUUCGUUGAGUCACACGUGAUCGCCGCUUGGGAGGACCUUUGCCGAGUCGCACGCGAUCGCCGCUUAGGAGGACCUUCGCCGAGUCGCACGCGAUCGCCGCUUGGGAGGACCUUCGCCGAGUCGCACGCGAUUGCCGCUUGGGAGGAAUCGUUCGUCCACCUUCAUCAUCCUUCUUUCUCACUACUUUUUUUUGAAUCCCGAGUCUUCGGGCACUUGCUAUACGUCAGUAUCAUCAAAUCCUUCCAGUGAUACCUUUUGUAUUUGGACCUAUUAUGCCCUUUAGUAUCAUUUUAUGUUUUGAGCUACUGUGUCAUUUCUAAAAAAUUAUUUUUGGAUAUUAUAGUUUUUUAUCAUUUUAUUGAUGUUGAGGAUGUGAGGAACAAUUAGUAUUUUGGUUUCAUUCGAUA